UAGUUUUUGAGUUCUUAUACAUACUGUUAUUACUAUUUCUCGCGAGGCGAGCUUUUGUGUACAGAUGUUGUAUGUAUAGUGAACUUUUAUUUGCUACCAGGUUAUGUUUUGUUCCUUACAGCUUUAUACUACUGGUUGUAGUAUUGUAUUUUUACAGGUACAGCUAUCGCUUCGUAUACAGGAAAAAUUUCUUUGUAUACGGCGGAUUUGUCAGCGUGCCCGAGGAACGUGAUAUCCGGGGCGUGACUAGAGAUGUCAACGGGUCGGAUUCGGGGCGGGUUUUUAAAAACCCGAACCCGAACCCGACUCCAAACCCGAGACCUGAACCCGAACCCGACGGAUUUUAAAAAUCCAUAUCUAAACCCGAACCCGACCAAAAAUCCGAAACCCGAACCUGAACCCGAACCCGAAAAUUUGAACCUGAAACAAUUAUUUCUUUUUUCAAUAUUUCAAAAUAUAUUAUAUUAAAUCUAAAUUUUUAAAAUACAAAUUUAAAUAUAACAUCAAAUUUUUAUAUAUAUAUUAUAUAUAAUACAAAAUAAAUUCGGGUUCGGGUU
rnacentral:lncRNA from 1 species